GUGCUCACCUCAGCAGCAUAUAUACUAAAGUUAGAAGGACACAGAGAAGAUUAGCAUGGCCCCUGCACAAGGGUGACAAGCAAAUUCGUGAAGCGUCCAUAUUUAAA
ensembl:snRNA U6 U6 spliceosomal RNA